UAGAGGAACUUGUUUUUUAAUUGAUAGUCCACGAUAAUAUUUACCUAAUUUAUUUGGUUUGUAUAUCGUCGUUUAAAAAAAAUUUUUUAAGAAUUAUUAAUUUUUAUAAUAUAAUGAUUAAUUAUAUAAAUUCAGAUCAAGGUGCAGCUAUUUAUUUAGGAUAAAAUGAGUUACAAUAAAUUUAAUUUAUUUACGGAUUUUAAAAUUAAAUUUUUAAAUUAAGGUGGAUUUAAAAGUAAAUUUGAAUAAUUAUUUAAGUUGAGAAUUKUUUUGAAUUAUGUACAUAUCGCCCGUCGCUCUCGUUAUAAGAUGAGAUAAGUCGUAACAAAGUAAGGGUACUGGAAAUGUUWUANNGUAYWAARAUUUNUAAUUAAUAAUUAUAKUUAWAAAUGUAARURWUUUAUGAAAUAAUUUAAAAUAGUUAAUUUUUAAAGUAAAAUUAAUUUUUUGUACCUUUUGUAUCAGGGUUUAUUAAWUAWWUAUUAANUAWNNUUAAUUUUCUCGAAUUAAUUAGAGYUAAUAUAUUAUUUGAUAAAAUUAUUAUAUUUGUUUUAUGUAAUUGACUUAAUUUUAAAUUAAAAUAUUUGUAUAUUUAUUUUAAAUUAAAUAUAAUUAUAAGGAACUAGACAAAUUUAAAAAUAUUUACCUGUUUAACAAAAACAUGUCUUUUUGAUUAUUAAUUUAAAGUCUAAUCUGCCCACUGAAAAAUUUUAAAUGGCCGCGGUAUUUUGACCGUGCAAAGGUAGCAUAAUCAUUAGUUUUUUAAUUGAAAGCUUGUAUGAAUGAUUGAAUAAAAUAUUGAUUGUCUCAUAAUUAUUAAAAUUAAAAUUUAAUUUUUAAAUCAAAAAGUUUAAAUAUUAUUAAAGGACGAGAAGACCCUAUAGAUUUUUAUAAUUAAUUAUUAAUUUUAAUUAAAUUUAUUUAUUAAAUUAAAUAAUUAAUUAUUUUGUUGGGGUGACAUUAAAAUUAAAUUAACUUUUAAUUAAAAUAGACAUUAAUUUAUGAAAUUUUAAUAUUAUAUAUGUUAUAUAUAUUAAUUUUUGAUCCUAUAUUUUAGAUUAUUAAAUUAAAAUACCUUAGGGAUAACAGCGUAAUUUAUUUGGAGAGAUCACAUUAAUAAGUAAGUUUGCGACCUCGAUGUUGAAUUAAGAUAAUGUUUAGGCGGAGAUGCUUAAAUAAAUAGGUCUGUUCGACCUUUAAAUUCUUACAUGAUUUGAGUUCAGAUCGGCGUGAGCCAGAUCGGAUUCUAUCCUUAAUUAAUUGUAAAUGUUUUUGUACGAAAGGACUUAAUAUUUUAAAUAUUUUAUAUUAAAUUGAAWAAAAUUAAUUAWUUU
rnacentral:rRNA from 1 species